rnacentral:rRNA from 1 species
GAUGAACGCUGGCGGCGUGCCUAACACAUGCAAGUCGAGCGCGAUUAAGUGGAGUGAGAACUUCGGUUCAAGUGAAGCUUGUGAAAGCGGCGGACGGGUGAGUAACGCGUGGGUAACCUGCCCCAUACAAAGGGAUAGCCACUGGAAACGGUGAUUAAUACCUUAUAAGUCGGUAGUCUCGCAUGAGACAGCCGACAAAGAUUUAUCGGUAUGGGAUGGACCCGCGUCUGAUUAGCUAGUUGGUGAGGUAACGGCUCACCAAGGCGACGAUCAGUAGCCGACCUGAGAGGGUGAUCGGCCACACUGGAACUGAGACACGGUCCAGACUCCUACGGGAGGCAGCAGUGGGGAAUAUUGCACAAUGGGCGCAAGCCUGAUGCAGCAACGCCGCGUGAGUGAUGAAGGCUUUCGGGUCGUAAAACUCUGUCCUAUGGGAAGAAAAAAAUAGACGGUACCAUAGGAGGAAGCCCGGCUAACUACGUGCCAGCAGCCGCGG